rnacentral:lncRNA from 1 species
UGCUUCUCUCCGGCUCCGGUGCGGCGGGCGGCGGGGCUUGUCCAACAUCCCUCACCUCCCUCAGUUGGACAUUUCCCUUCCACGCUCGGAUGCCCAGCCGCGCCUGUUUUCUUGCAUCCCUCCUGUCGUGUCUGCGGGGCUGCCCUGAAGGCCUCUUUCCCUCCAGGGAAGAAAGGGAUCCAAAGCUAGGGGUGAAAAUAGGGCCAGCAGUAUCUAGCAGACUGGUCCUGGCCAGGAGAAGGGGUUAAGGGAGCCACUCAUUCUUCGCCUGGGUACACUUCAAAGAGGGGAACCAGAUCCUACGGGAAGCUAGGUGCCAGAACUCCUGCCUUUCCAAGACGAGCUCAUCCCCAUCAUCACCAUACCCAGGAAUACUUGUUCAUAGCCAGCUCAGAGGUGCACCAUACUUUAGCUUCCCACGGCCUUCACUCGUUUUCUCCUGUGGGUGAAUUCUAACUAGGCUCGCCUGUCACCAAAGAUGGAAACAGAGAAUAGAUCCUGAACACCAGGAAGAUGGUGACAAGGUGAUAGAGAAACAGAUGGCACAUUCAAACAAGGGCCCUGAAGUGAUCCUCCUCCUGUUCACUGACACCCGUUGCCAAGAGAGAGAGAGAAAAAGAGAGAGAGAGAGAAGCAGGAAGAGAGGAGAGGGUGCUGGCCUUAUUAGAGAAAGAAUGGUCCCACUCUGUUGCCCAGGUUGGAGUGCAGUGGUACAAU